rfam:Jatropha curcas cultivar GZQX0401 scaffold195_32, whole genome shotgun sequence.
AAGCUAUGAUGUGGGCACUUCCUCAAUAGGUCCUUGAAUCUCUCCCAAGCUUCAUACAAACUUUCUUGACAUUGGUGGGAAAAAGUCAUUAUCUCAUUGGGAAGCUU